UCUUUAUUUCCUUGCCUGACUUUAAAAUUGUUUGCUGCUUUACCCUCUACUAUUUGUGGGCUUGUCUUAAAUCAUUUGCGAUUCACUUGUGUGUAGUUUACUGGUGUGUUUUCUGCUCUGAAACUGUAUAUAAAAAUAAGUUUGAUCUGUUUGUUUGUCAUUUUUGUAGUGAAACCAUUUUAAAAUAGAGACACAUAUUUUGCAGCUUCAGUGGUUGUAUGUUGUCCAAUUUUAGUGUUAAACAGGUUUUUUUUCUUGCAUUUCUUUAUAUCGGCUUAAAUUUGUUGCAGUAAAACAACAGGUUUUAUUUUAGAAAACUUUCAAUUUUGUGUUAUUUGAAACAAUAAUUUGACCUGUUCAAAACAAAGAAAAUGUGUAGUGAAAGAUUUGUCAUAGUUUUUCAUUUAUGGUUAUGUGGUAGAAAAUUCACAAAACAAGGUAUUCUAAACAAUGUUAAGAACACAUAUUUUAUUAUUAUUAUUUAUUUCUUAGCAGACGCCCUUAUCCAGGGCAACUUACAAUUGUUACAAGAUAUCACAUUAUUUUUACAUCCAAUUACAUUAUUUUUACAUGCAAUUGCCCAUUAUACAGUUGGGUUUUUACUGGAGCAAUCUAGGUAAAGUACCUUGCUCAAGAGUACAGCAACAGUGUCCCCAACCGGGGAUUGAACCCACGACCCUACAGUCAAGAGUCCAGAGCCCUAACCACUACUCCACACUGCUGCCCUAGCCACACAAGUGUUUAAAUAAACACUCCCUUUAGUUAAAAUGCCUGGCCAGGUAACUUCUUAAUUAUUGUAUCUAUUUAAUUAAGGAUUCCCCUUUAAGAAGGCUGAACUCCCAUGAGCCUUUGUUCUUUUUUAAACAGGUAGAGGGUGGAAGGGAGGCAGGUUUUGUGUUCUGGGUUCCUCCAUUUUGUGUAUGGUGGUGUGGUUUGUGUGCAGGUUCUGAAUGGGUUCCAGUUGGCUUUCAGGAUUUUAUUUACAAGAAAAUUAUAUUAAAUAAGAACUAUACCUACCUUGGAGCAUCUCUUGGACAACUUGUUGCUGUUGGACUGCCACUGGAACUACAGAAUAAGCAUCAACAAACAAACAAACAAACAGUCGGGUCUGUGAGGAUGAGAAGGUCUCCACAGUCUGGAGUCUGGUCUCUGACAGGCUCAACAUACCUGUCAAUCAACAGGGACUCCUCUACAAAGGCAAGGCGCUGGCAGGUAGGCUGAACAGCACAGCACAGCACAGCUCACCCCUCCUCUCACCCCUCGCCUCAUCCCUCCUCUCACUCCUCGCCUCACCCCGGGUCAGUGUGGCACAGCCUGCCUGCUCUUCUGAACAAACACUUCAGCCCUGCCGACGCAGUGAGAGUCUGGAGCAGCAACACAAGGUAACCUGAACACAAACACACACACACACACAGACACACACAAACACACACACAGUGAGAGGCUGGAGCAGCUACACAAGGUAAAUUGAACACAAUAAACACGGCUACACACACAAUCCUAGCUGCAGCAGAUGUACAAUGUUAUACAGACACACACAGACACAGCUGUACAGUGACACCGAGACGCACACACAAUCACAGCUGCAGCACACACACUCUGAAAUGCAGGUGUAGAGCAGCGUGUAGUUGUGACUCUGUGUCUCUCUCCUCCCCCUCUCCUCUCCUCUCCUUACUUUGUUUAAAAGAAUAGAAGCACACCCAGUGAGCAAGGCAUUGAGCAGCCCCACAUCCCGCUUCACAAUACCGCUACAUAUUGACUGACUGUUCGCAUUGUGUGUGUUUGGUAAGACAAACCACAUUUUCUACUUCUACUUUCUACGAUUGGGCAAGUCAGCGGUUGUUUGAUAACAGAACAUAAAACAUCACAGAGUGGGUUGAACUGCAUUGCUGGAAAUCAAGGCCCUUUAAAAUGUGUACCUUCCCAGCUCAGGUAUUGCUGAGGUAAAGAGACACUUCCUACAGGAGGACAGGACGUUGUCAAGGAGGGGAUGUCGUCACGUGUCCUGAGGGCUUUCUUAAAAACAUUGUUUUAUUAUUUCUAAGCGUACGUUGUUAUUGCCUUUUAGCUCUUGAGCAUAAUAAUCUCAAUCCCGUUUGAAAUGACACUAAGUGCAUUUGCAUGGUGGCAGAUGAGGGAUGUCGCUUCACUCAAGGCUUGCGUACUGAUGUAGAUGUAGUUUCAGUGUUUAAUGCUCAUCCCCUCACUGUGUGUCUGUGUGUGUUCUUGUCUCUCGCCUGUCCUGUGAGGAUGAAGAUGUAGUUUCAGUGUUUAAUGCUCAUCCCCUCACUGUGUGUCUGUGUGUUCUUGUCUCUUGACAGGUCUGUGAGGAUGAGAAGGUCUCCACAGUCUGGAGUCUGGUCUCUGACAGGCUCAACAUACCUGUCAAUCAACAGGGACUCCUCUACAAAGGCAAGGCGCUGGCAGGUAGGCUGAACAGCACAGCACAGCACAGCACAGCACAGCUCACCCCUCCUCUCACCCCUCGCCUCGCCCCUCCUCUCACCCCUCGCCUCACCCCUCCUCUCACUCCUCGCCUCACCCCGGGUCAGUGUGGCACAGCCUGCCUGCUCUUCUAAACAAACACUUCAGCCCUGCCGACGCAGUGAGAGUCUGGAGCAGCUACACAAGGUGAUGAAGUGACACUUUGAAUAUGGGGCCUGAUGAGAGAAGUAUCCUUUUCAUGUGGUUUUGGUUUUGCCGUUGUGAGCAGGUAUGGGAGACAGCACCGUGUCUGCAUGUGAAAUAACAAAGUCAUCGCAGUGGAGGGACUCUCUGAAGGCUGCUGUUUGUGGAUUUGUCUUGUAAUGUGAGUGAUCUACUGUACUGUGAUGCCACUGUCUGUACGCACGCUGCACUGCAGGGGAGACACCGCUGGCAUUCACAGGGCAUGCUUGUUCAUUUAAAGCACGCUGCACUGCAGGGGAGACACCAACCUUCUGGACAAAGCCAAAACAGAUAGAGGAGUGACCAAAGUGAUCCUAUCAUUCGGAAUCAACAACAAGGACCAGAAAGUCAAAGAGACAGCUAUCAAAAACCUACAAAGGAUGUACAGGUCAGCAAAGACAACCUUCCCAACUGCAGAAAUCAAAGUGCCACUGGUGAACUUCUCACGAGCACUAGACAUGCAGGCCCAACGGAACUUGGAAGAACUAAACGGAUUCAUCUCAGCCAACCUACCACACAUACCGCUAUUACCAACUGAGAAAUUUCAAGUAGGCGGAGACAACAUCCACUGGACAACCAACACAGCCAAAGAUAUGCUCCAGCACUGGUGCCAGCAUUUAAACUAGGAGACCCCACAAGCCCAAAUAUCUCCAGGGAGGGGGCAUCCAACAUAGUCAAUCUAUGUAAAUACUUCACACCAACAGAGAGUCAAAACAGCCUUUUGAGCAAAGGCCUCUCCUUCAUACCCACACCGCAAACUGAAGCAAAACAGAAGCAGACACUGCGAGCAGAAACACAAGACUACCAUAGGAGGCUAAAAAUCGCAACCUUCUUUGAAGAGGAAGGAGACUCAAAUCACAUACCCUUCCUACCCAAAUCCAACUGGGAACCAAAUAACAACCAAGUUCCACAGGAAAUCACAGAGAUUAUUCUUGAAGAUCUAAAAACAAUACACAGCCUGAACCCAGGUAACUACAGAACAGAAGACAACCUAACAGCACCAGAAAGGAUUGCACUUAAGGAAUUACAAAAACAUACCGACAUCAUUUUCAAACCAGCAGACAAGGGAAGUUCAAUAGUAAUAAUGGAUAGAGAAGACUACAUCUUUGAAGCCAACAGACAACUAAAUAAUCAAGAACACUACAGGAAAUUAGACGCACCAAUUUAUCUUGAUUCUGCUCAGGAAAUUAACACAAUAAUACAAACACUAACAGACCACAAAAUAAUUACUAGAAAACAGGCACACUAUCUCAAGGGGGCAGACACACCCAGAGCACGCAUUUUUUACAUGCUACCAAAAAAUACACAAAUCACCAGACACAUGGACUAUCCCACACACCAUACCACCAGGCAGACCGAUAGUAUCGGAUUGCAACAGUGAAUCAUAUAGAAUUGCAGAAUACAUAGACCACUUUUUAAACCCCCUAUCCACCAAACACACUAGCUACCUUAAAGACACAUAUGACUUCAUAGACAAAAUUAAAACACUCAAACUACCAGAAACAGCUUUUCUCUUCACAAUAGAUAUAGACAGCUUGUACACAAACAUAGAGACCAACGCAGGCAUUGCAGCUAUCAGGAAAUGUCUAAAUCUAAAUCCGGAUCCAACCAGACCAGACGAGGAACUGAUCAAACUCCUGGAAAUCAGCUUAAGGAAAAACGACUUUGAAUUCGACAACCAAUUCUACCUCCAAACCAAAGGAACAGCGAUGGGGAAACGCUUUGCUCCAUCAUAUGCUAACAUCUACAUGGCCGAUUGGGAAGAAACAAUCCUCCCCAGAUGCCCACACAGACCAACUCACUAUUUCAGGUACCUAGAUGACAUUUGGGGCACUUGGACACAUAGCAUGGAGGAAUUUACACAUUUCAUCUCGUUACUUAACACACACCACCAGUCCAUCAAGGUAAAAUACACCACACAUAACAGCAAAGUAAACUUUUUAGACACCACCACUUACAAAGGACCACAUUUUUCACAAACACACCAACUAGACACCAAAGUAUAUUUUAAAGAAACUGACACACACACUCUACUACACAAAACCAGCUAUCACCCUAAACACACGUUUAGAGGUUUAAUAAAAUCACAACUACUCAGAUUCCACAGAAUUUGCACACAACAUACUGACUUCCAGGCAGCUACCAAAGUUUUAUUCACAGCACUCAGACAAAGGGGGUACUCCCGUUCCUUCCUCAGAGGAAUAAGGAAAACCUUCUUAGAACAAAAGCCUAGAGACAACAAAAAGAUUAUUCCACUCAUAACUACCUACUCACAUUUUAGUGUGGCAGCUAAUUCACAGAUAAAACAAAACCUAACCAACAAAUUACAAGACACC